UACAGAGGUGGCAAGCGUUGUUCGGAAUUACUGGGCGUAAAGGGCGCGCAGGCGGCCUUCUAAGUCAGACGUGAAAUCCCCAGGCUUAACUUGGGAACUGCGUCUGAUACUGGGAGGCUUGAAUGCGGGAGAGGGAUGUGGAAUUCCAGGUGUAGCGGUGAAAUGCGUAGAUAUCGGGAAGAACACCCGUGGCGAAGGCGGUUCUCUGGGACGGUACUGACGCUGAGACGCGAAAGCGUGGGGAGCGAACAGG
rnacentral:rRNA from 1 species